AGAAUACAAACAGAACAGUAAUAAAGACAAUAUUAGACAAUAUUCCAACUCCUGAAGUCCGUGCAGGCCCGACAGGGCGGCUUCUUCUUAUUCGGUUCGGCGGCCGGCAGAGGCUGCCCCUCCGCGGGUUUUUCAGCCCCGGCCCUCGAGGCGGAGAAUGGGAAAGGGAAAGCGGGCGCCAGUCGGGACGUGCUGGGGCUGGGCACCGCCAGGUUGGGUGGGAGAAAAAGGAGGCUGAGAGUGGUUGUCAAUGGCAACUCCAGUAGGCUGCUUCCCCUUUUCCUGUUUACGCUGGAGUCUUAUUUGGCUUGCCACGCCUGCGGGCUCUCUUCCGGCCAACGCUGCCAAUGACAGAUCUCAAAAACCUGGGGUCGGUGAGAUUUGGAAUUCGCAGCACCUUGCGCCUGCUGGACCUCCUGAGCGGAGCAGGUUGUGUCUUGCUCCUCGUGAAGUAGGGGGAAAUGUGAGGAGUGUUGCAAGCCGGUGCAGAGGCCGAAGGUCUGGCCGAGAUGGUCAGGGGCUUCUUCCUAACCCAGUGGAACACCAGUAUCAUACGCCUCUUAGAUGGGUUGGACAUGCUGAAGAAGGUGAUGGAGGCCCAAAGACCAGGGUGACUUCAAAGCGGAGGACACAGCAGGCAGUUCCCUAUCAAUGGGGCAAAAUCCAAGCUAAUGUUAGCUCCAGUCCUGUUAAAUCAAUCCAGAAAUUAGGAACGUUAAAUAAGGAAUUAAUUCCUCAGGCAGUAUGAAAAGACUCUAUGUGGCUUUUCAAUAGCUGGGAGCUCC